AGAAGUCCAGUCAGCUACUCGAGUAAUACAGAACAUUGCAUGUGUGCUGUCAUCUAUGAAAGAGGAUCAACACUUGUCAAGACAACACAAGAGGAAGUCAGAUAUUAUGAGUAGUCCUGAUGACUGGUACAAGAGAGAGCUCCUCAAAAUUGAAAGAGAGAUGCUGGAAGAAACCAGAACAAGAAACAGACUGCUCCAAGAAAUGAACACUAACAUGGAAACACUAAUAGCGCUUAAAAGAGUAAAACUUUUCAGCGAGAACCAAUUAAUACUAGAACAUUAAAGAAAUGUGUUCACGU